rnacentral:rRNA from 1 species
GACCCUACGGGAGGCAGCAGUCGGGAAUAUUGCGCAAUGGAGGAAACUCUGACGCAGUGACGCCGCGUAUAGGAAGAAGGUUUUCGGAUUGUAAAAUAUUGUCGUUAGGGAAGAUAAAAGACUGUACCUAAGGAGGAAGACCCGGCUAACUAUGUGCCAGAAGCCGCGGGAAUACAUAGGGGGCAAGCGUUAUCCGGAAUUAUUGGGUGUAAAGGGUGCGUAGACGGAAGAACAAGUUGGUUGUGAAAUCCCUCGGCUCAACUGAGGAACUGCAACCACAACUAUUCUCCUU